CCUCCAUCAUGUCGGCUUCCUCCAGCCCGUAGCCGAAACUUUUGGGGAAGGACCCGACGGCAUCGUAGCUCCCAGACAACGUUGGCUCCUCGAACUGUAUCGACAUGCUGCGUCGAAUGAGCCUCUGGAGGGGAAAAAAGCUGCUGUUUAACGAGCCAAAUAAUCCGCUGAGGAAUGUUCUCGAUACUCUUUAAAACCAGCUAGCAUGGCAGGCUAACUUGACAGUAAACAUUCAACUCGGACGGUAUCUUCGUGGUAUUUAAGGUUGCUUUUUCUCUCCAAUAAACACCGAGGCGUUAAAGUGCCAUUAUAUUGUUUUAAAAAAAAAAAGUUAUCUAAAUAUGGGCUAAAGUUCGGGUGUAUGAAGCUAGUCACAAGUCUUGUGGCUUUCCUUCCAAGUCCCGCCUCUUUUAUCUGAUUGGCCGGUGGAGGCCCGGCCGCGUCACGUGACAGUCAGAUGCCGGAAGACUUUGAAGAACGGAUCCAUGAUGGCCGUAGUUCUCCUGUGGUUCUUCCUGGUGAGCCCAGUGGCACUGGCUGCAAGCAUGCCUGCUAAUAACGGGACAGUACCUCUGGUUCUGUGGCAUGGAAUGGGCGACAGCUGUUGCAAUCCACUCAGCUUGGGCGCCAUCAAGAAAAUGAUCGAGCAGGAGAUUCCGGGCAUUUACGUGCUUUCACUGAUGAUCGGCAAGAAUGUCGUGCAGGACACCGAAAACGGCUUUUUCAUGGAUGUGAACGAGCAGGUGUCCGUGGUGUGCGAUCAACUCGCUCAGGACCCAAAGUUGAAGGGAGGCUACAACGCCAUGGGCUUCUCCCAGGGGGCGCAAUUUCUGAGAGCCGUGGCCCAGCGAUGUCCUUCCCCGCCUAUGAAGAAUCUCAUCUCUGUGGGCGGCCAGCACCAAGGCGUGUACGGGCUGCCCAGGUGUCCCGGAGAGAGCUCUUACAUUUGCGACAUGAUCCGAAAGGCCCUGAACACGGAGGCGUACAGCGACCUGGUGCAAAAACACCUGGUGCAGGCCCAGUACUGGCACGACCCUUUGAAGGACGACCUGUACAAGAAGCACAGUCUCUUCCUGGCUGACAUCAACCAGGAGAGGGUGCUCAAUGAGACCUAUAAGAAGAAUCUUCAGAUGCUGGACAAGUUCGUCAUGGUGAAGUUUCUGCAGGACACGGUGGUCGAUCCGGUUGAUUCUGAGAAAACAAGCCUCCACUCCUUUUUCCUCAGUGGUUCGGCUUCCUAAAAACGGGGCAGGCCAAAGAGACAGAGACUCUACAGGAGAGCGUCCUUUACAAAGAGGAUCGCCUGGGCCUGGCCGCCAUGGACAAGGCAGGGAAGCUGGUUUUCCUCGCCACUAAAGGAGACCACCUGCAGUUCAGUAGAGAGUGGUUCAACGCAAACCUGCUGCCUUACCUCCAACAUUAGAGAAAACUCUGGCUUCUCGCUAAUUGCUUCCUGUUGCACUGAGGAUCUGUCGCAUGCUGAUGGGUUCUAAGGUUUACUGUUAACUUCUGUCCUGUGUAAAUCAGUUUUACAAAUGUUGAAUAUUUUAACAAUAACAUGAUUUUAACAUGCAUACAUUUAUAGUCGGAGCCAUUCAUGCUUUGUGUUUACUUUGUUUUGGGGACCUAUAUGUGGUUGGACCACAGGUGGCGCUAUUGAGGGGCUGCACAUUUGUGAGGAAGUGAUGGUGACAGUCUUUUCCGCUUUUGCUGCUCAGCACAGUCUCAUGUCCACAGUCGCCACCAUUUUACAAACAACGGGUUGACUUGACAUCUUGUGCAAUAAAGAACAUUUCUAAACGA